UGAGUAACACGUAUCCAACCUGCCGUCUACUCUUGGCCAGCCUUCUGAAAGGAAGAUUAAUCCAGGAUGGGAUCAUGAGUUCACAUGUCCGCAUGAUUAAAGGUAUUUUCCGGUAGACGAUGGGGAUGCGUUCCAUUAGAUAGUAGGCGGGGUAACGGCCCACCUAUCAACGAUGGAUAGGGGUUCUGAGAGGAAGGUCCCCCACAUUGGAACUGAGACACGGUCCAA
rnacentral:rRNA from 1 species